AGUGAACGCUGGCGGCGUGCCUAAUACAUGCAAGUCGAACGGAGUGGCGCACGGGUGAGUAAUGUAUAGCUAAUCUGCCCUACACUAGAGGACAACAGUUGGAAACGGCUGCUAAUACUCUAUAGUGUAGGAUGAGGCUAUAUUGUAUCAGCUAGUUGGUGAGGGAAUGGCUCACCAAGGCUAUGACGCAUAACUGGUCUGAGAGGAUGAUCAGUCAAACUGGAAGUGAGACACGGUCCGGACUUCUACGGGAAGGAGCAGUAGGGUAUAUUGCUCAAUGGGGGUGAAUCUGAAGCAGCAACGGGGCGUGGAGGAUGACACUUUUCGGGGCGUAAACUCCUUUUGUUAGGGAAACGGUACCUACCGAAGAAGCACCGGCUAACUCCGUGCCAGCAGCCGCGGUAAUAC
rnacentral:rRNA from 1 species